UACGAAGGGGGCUAGCGUUGCUCGGAAUUACUGGGCGUAAAGGGCUCGUAGGUGGCCAACUAAGUCAGACGUGAAAUCCCUCAGCUUAACUGGGGAACUGCGUCUGAUACUGGAUGGCUUGAGUUUGGGAGAGGGAUGCGGAAUUCCAGGUGUAGCGGUGAAAUGCGUAGAUAUCUGGAGGAACACCGGUGGCGAAGGCGGCAUCCUGGACCAAUACUGACACUGAGGAGCGAAAGCCAGGGGAGCAAACGGG
rnacentral:rRNA from 1 species